rnacentral:rRNA from 1 species
UAGUAAUCGUGGAUCAGCAUGCCACGGUGAAUACGUUCCCGGGUCUUGUACACACCGCCCGUCACACCAUGGGAGCCGGUAAUACCCGAAGUCAGUAGUCUAACCGCAAGGAGGACGCUGCCGAAGGUAGGAUUGGCGACUGGGGUGAAGUCGUAACAAGGUACC